rnacentral:rRNA from 1 species
CAGCAGUGAGGAAUAUUGGUCAAUGGACGCGAGUCUGAACCAGCCAUCCCGCGUGCAGGAUGACGGCCCUAUGGGUUGUAAACUGCUUUUCUACGCCAAGAAACCUGAUUACGUGUAAUCAGUUGCCGGUAGCGUAGGAAUAAGCAUCGGCUAACUCCGUG